CACACUAAGCUAUAAUCGAUGUUCCGUGUUCGGCCACUGUUGGUAAACUUUCCUCCUUCCUUCGCUUAGGUUAACUUGUAUGCUCUGCUCACUCCUUCGAUUGAUCUUCUUCCUCCGCCAUCGACUGUCCCAAACUCCCGAUUUCCACUUCCGUCACUGCCAUUGCUGCUACCGCUAGUUGCAUCUCGAGUUUCUUCACUUCCUCCCACUUCAGCCACAGCCAUCGGUGCUACUGCUAGCUGCAUCUCCACCGCUUCCGCCAUCUCCACUUCAGCAACCUCCAAGCCGCGCAAGAAUCUGAGUGCGCAACCCACUGCCGGAGACUGACUGACGGACGAGGAUCUGGAAGGUGAUCCACAGUGCCAAGAAUCUGAGUGCGCAACCUCCCAAUCUGAUUGCGCAACCUCCUUUAGCAACCACCACUUCCGUACUUCCGCCAGCUCCGCUUCAGCUCCACAACCGCAAGUGCCAGCUCGACUAGCACUUUACUUUCCCUCUUUUCUCACACCAGGCUGACUGACGGACUCUCCGAAAUCCGAACCCAACCAGCUUCCCGGCUCAUCCCCAUCUCCGAGCUUUGUCUAAGCUGUUCCGGCGGCACAAGUGUGCAACCUAUUGAGGCCAUCUCCACCACUCCCUACCGUGUCCAACAUUCUUAGUGCAGUCCACUGGAUUUUCUCCCUAGAUUUUGCAGUUCUUGAUGGAUUGAAGGAGCUCUUGCAUGUUGCCUGUAGGUUGGUUCGUAGAUCCAUUGCUGGCAUUAGGGAAGAUUACAAAGGUAAUCUACUGAGACUGAGGGGAUGUGUCUUUUCAAAUAUGUGCUGAGACAAUGCUAAAUAUAUUCCUGAUCAGUGAAGUUAUCAUAAUUUGUAUUAAUGGAUUUUUGUGGACAUUUGGAUAAUUUGUAUUAGUGGAUAAUUUUUGGAUAAUUUGUAUUAGUGGACAUUUGGACAUUUAUGAUUGUAUUGGUGCAUAAUUUGUAGGCCUCAAGAUCAAGAAUAUGUGAAAAAUUGUAGUUAUUUCAUGCGCAAA